rnacentral:rRNA from 1 species
UAAGCAUAGCGAUAUGUUGAGCUAACCAAUACUAAUGAACCGUGAGGCUUAACCUGACAACACCGAAGGUGUUUUAG